GAUGAACGCUAGCGGGAGGCCUAACACAUGCAAGCCGAGCGGUAUUGUUUCUUCGGAAAUGAGAGAGCGGCGUACGGGUGCGUAACACGUGUGCAACCUGCCUUUAUCUGGGGGAUAGCCUUUCGAAAGGAAGAUUAAUACUCCAUAAUAUAUUGAACGGCAUCGUUUAAUAUUGAAAGCUCCGGCGGAUAGAGAUGGGCACGCGCAAGAUUAGCUAGUUGGUGAGGUAACGGCUCACCAAGGCGAUGAUCUUUAGGGGGCCUGAGAGGGUGAUCCCCCACACUGGUACUGAGACACGGACCAGACUCCUACGGGAGGCAGCAGUGAGGAAUAUUGGUCAAUGGGUGCAAGCCUGAACCAGCCAUCCCGCGUGAAGGACGACUGCCCUAUGGGUUGUAAACUUCUUUUGUAUAGGGAUAAACCUACCCUCGUGAGGGUAGCUGAAGGUACUAUACGAAUAAGCACCGGCUAACUCCGU
rnacentral:rRNA from 1 species